CAGCCGCCGCGGUAAUACAGAGGGUGCGAGCGUUAAUCGGAUUUACUGGGCGUAAAGCGUGCGUAGGCGGCUUCUUAAGUCGGAUGUGAAAUCCCUGAGCUUAACUUAGGAAUUGCAUUCGAUACUGGGAAGCUAGAGUAUGGGAGAGGAUGGUAGAAUUCCAGGUGUAGCGGUGAAAUGCGUAGAGAUCUGGAGGAAUACCGAUGGCGAAGGCAGCCAUCUGGCCUAAUAAUGACGCUGAGGUACGAAAGCAUGGGGAGCAAACAGGAUUAGAUACCCGGGUAGUCCCUGUCUCUUAUAC
rnacentral:rRNA from 1 species